GAGGAAAAAUUAAUAAAUUAAAAAUAAUAAAAAUAGUUUUAAUAUUAAAAUAGGGGGUUUUAGUAUUAUUAUUAUGAAAAAAUUAUAAGAUUUAUAGUGAAUUAGUAUUGUAAAAUAAAUUUUAAAUAAUUUUGAAAAUAAAUUUAAUAAAAAGUAAAUUUAAUUUAUUGUAUCUUGUGUAUCAGAGUUUAUUAAAUAUAAAUUUAGUUAAAUUAUUUCUCGAAUUUAAAAGAGAUAAAUAAUUAAAAAAGUUAUUGUUGCAUAAAUAUUUUUAAUAAUUAUUUUGAAAUGAAAUGUUAAUCGUUUUUAAAGAUAUCUAGUUUUUUUAGAAAAAAAUUUAAUUUUAUUUUUUUUUUUAAAUUAAAUUAAUUAAUUAAUUUAAUUUAAAAAAAAAAUUAUAUUUUAAGGGAUAAGCUUUAAAUUAAAUUUUUAUAAUCAUAAAAAAUAAUACAAAUAAAAUUUUUAAAAUUUAUAUUGUUUAUAAUUUUUAAUUUAUUAUAAAUAAUUUUAUUUAAAAUAAAAUUUUAUUAUGAUUUAAUUUUUUAUAAAAAAAAUUUUUUAAACUACAAAAAAUAUAUUAUAAUGAUAAAAUUAGUAUUUAAAAAUAAAAUAAAAUUAAUAUUUACUAUAAGUAAAUUUAAGGAAUUCGGCAAAAAUUUAUAUUCACUUGUUUAUCAAAAACAUGUCUUUUUGAAAAUAAUUUAAAGUCUAAUCUGCCCACUGAUAAAUUAUUAAAGGGCUGCAGUAUAUUGACUGUACAAAGGUAGCAUAAUCAUUAGUCUCUUAAUUGGUGACUUGUAUGAAAGAUUGGAUGAGAUAUAAACUGUCUCAAAUUUAAUUAAAUAAUUUAAUUUUUUAAUUAAAAAGUUAAAAUAUAUUUAAAAGACGAGAAGACCCUAUAGAGUUUAAUUUAUUUUUAAAUUAAAAUAUUAUAUAUAAAUAAUAAUUGAAAUUUAAAAAUUAAUUUUGUUGGGGUGAUAAAAAAAUAAAUAUAACUUUUUUUAAAUUAAUUCAUGAAUAAAUGAGUAAAUGAUCCAAAAUUUUUGAUUAAAAGAAAAAAUUACCUUAGGGAUAACAGCGUAAUUUUUUUUUUUAGUUCAAAUAAGAAAAAAAGUUUGCGACCUCGAUGUUGGAUUAAGAUAAAAUUUAAAUGCAAAAGUUUAAAAUUUUGAUCUGUUCGAUCAUUAAAAUCUUACAUGAUCUGAGUUCAAACCGGUGUGAGCCAGGUUGGUUUCUAUCUUUAAAAAAUUAAAAUAUUUUAGUACGAAAGGAAUAAAUAUUUAAAUUAAAUUUAAUUUAAUGAAUUUUAAUAAAUAAUUUUAUAAAUAAGUUUAUUUAUUUAUUUA
rnacentral:rRNA from 1 species